rnacentral:lncRNA from 1 species
UCAGUGUCGGGUGUUACAUCUUGUUUAAUUUAUAUAGUUUAGAACAGCAGCUCCCAACUGAAUAUCAACUAUACAAUAAUCAUGAGCAACAAAGCCUAACAGUCCAAUAAGUACAGUUGCGGAAAUAAUCGGCUGAGAGAGGUCGGAAUGUUUGAAGAACUGGUCGUAGGCUUAUCACUUCGCCAAGGUCCAGAAUGUGUGAUUGCAAGUGCUGUCAAAGCUGGGGAAACUGCUGUCGGUAUACAUGCAGACUGCUAGUGGGAAUUCUUUGUGUACCUUUCCUCCUGGUCAUCAGUCUACUUGCCCUGAUUGUAGCGAUCAUUCUUUGCCCAUUAAAAUGCUGUAGUCCUUGUUGCGCACCCUGUCUGGAAGCACUACAAAAAGGUUUGGUCUUCUUGCUGAAAGCGCCGUUCCUGUUCGUUAUGUGGUGUGUUGGCAAGGUAACGACUGAAGAUGACGAAGAGAAACAAGAGCUUCCCAAAAACGCUGCUGAGUACGGCACCAGUAAGGCCGAGGAACCAGCAGCGGACGGGAAGGAAACGGACACUAGCACUACCUGAUUUGAAAACGGAAAUAGGCAACGGAAUAACGAACAAGUACUGGUACUUUUGCCAUAGACCAUGCAUGAAUCUUUGACUUGUAUUGUUUGCAUGCAACUGGGAUUACGUAAGAACGUGGCAAGAAAGGCCAACAAGUCCUGAAAACCCACCCCUCAGCAACAUCUGAAUAUGAUUAUUACACGCGUAAAUCCAUUUUUUCGUUUUUUGAAAACUGUUGAACACGUCAGGUGAGAUAAAAAGGGCCCCAAUUUUCGUGAUGCCUAUUAGAUAGAGUGCUGAAGACUGUGUGGCGUAUGACGUUUUGCGCAGUGUGUUAUGGAGCCAUGCAAAACAGCUGGCCUCAUCUCGUCUGUCUACUUCUCUGUGACCACCGAAAAUACGGCCAUUACAAAAAGAAGUCAGCUUAGGCGUCUAGUGGCGAAACUGGGGGCAUGGGAGGCGUGACGCCCUCUACUAUUCGAGUUCUCAGCUCCCCGUGUGUCCCCUAUUGGGAAUUACAGAAGGAAAACAUGUGGUGAUAGUCCGCCUUGGUCAAUUGGUCAAAUGCACCCCAGUUACGCCACUAUACGAGUCUUUACACCCAGAACUAAACAUGCAGUUGCUUUGUUUUUGCAACCUGACAGUUCCAUGCCACCGUACUGAACACGUGGAACAUGGCACAUAGAUAUGUAUUCAUGUUUGAAGUUAAAGUCAUUUUCAAUUUUUGUUUCACUAUUUCAAAUGGUGUUUUGCUGGGUUUUUUGGGUUGUCUUAGUAAUAUUUCCAUAUUCAUGAGUAAAACUGUGAUGUCAUCAUCCGAGAAGAAAAACCAUAAUGUUACAAGGAUUUGUGCAAAGAAAAUCGCAUUUAAAAGAAUUUUGCUGGCAUAAAUUUUCUCUUCGCUUUGGUGAUUCACUGUUGUGUGGGUACAUAGUGACAAGAAAGUCAUCAAUCCUUUUCUCACAAAUAUUUUCAGUGAGUAAAUUCUUGGUUCAUAUAUAAUUUGAACAGAAAAACAGAAGCACUGGGCCAUUGUCUUUCCCGGUGAUUACAGCAACACCGCCUUAGGCCAGAAAAGUACUGAUAAUUUUAAAUGUUUAAAAGAGUGUACUUUUCAGUAUAUUUAACCUAAUACGUGUAGAUAUCAAUAAGUUUCAUUAAAUGAAAAUCCAUGUCUAAGAAAAAAAUCAUUGCAGAUACACUUUAACCAUGGCAUAAGUUACACUGUACAUAUGUACAUGUACCGACAAACGUUCAAGUCAGACAGAAAGUCACGUAUCUCCUUCUCAUGUCAAGGCUUCCGCGUUGAUUUUAAUGAUAUGAAAAAGCAAACGAAAAUGCAGCUGUUAAUUGAAAUAUGAGUUUAAAUCGGUUGUAUCAAUAUGGCAUAAUACUUCCGUAGGCUUCUCGGUCCGUGCAGUUUGGCACAAUGUAUUUUACAAUUUUAUUGUUGAUAUACUGCGUCUCAUUAUUUCAGGCUGAAAGACAAUGGAGUAUAGACUGGUAGGCCUAACGCAGCAGUGGAGUUCCGUGCAAACUGCAAUGAUUCCGUUGCAGAAAAUGCAGCGUUGAUCCUGAAUUGAUAAUUGUACUUCAUUCAUGAAUGCGAAAAGUGUAUACAAUGUCACCGAGUGGCAUACGACAAAACGAGACCGAUAAUUAUUUACAUUGACGUUCAGCAUUUCUGCUUUGUAAAUGAGAAGCUACAUUCCGUGCCCCAUUGUGUCGUUGAGGGCGUAGGUAGGUGGUGUGGUGUGGCGCAGAAAAAACUCCUCUUUGGGUCAAUUCCGAGGGUGGAUCACUUAUCUCGUGAGUUGUGAGUGGUGUAGCUCUGGGAUAUCCCCGUCGACUCAUUCAGGAUCCUGUAAUGGCACUAAAGGCACGCCACACAUCUAAUUGUGGGGGUUCACAAACCCUGUGCGAAGCAGUGGCGUCACUACGGGGGGGGGGCACGUGCCCCCCAACGGAGGCCGGUCCCUCCCCUAUUUGAAAAUGGAAAUGGAAAAUAUAUAUAUAUACCUAGUUCAAUUAUUUUCAGUGCCCCGUGAAAAAAAAUUGUGCACCCCAGGUGCCCCGUCAGCUGUAGCAUCCUAGUUACGCCACUGGUGCGAAUUAAGUUACAGAUUCCUCCCUUUCACGGCGCCCCCUACUGGUGUACUGGUUUCGUUUAUGAGUGAAGAAGAACUGAAUCAGCUUGCUUUUGUUUUACACA